GAUGAGAACGUAGCGAAAUGCGAUAAGUAGUGUGAAUUGCAGAAUUCAGUGAAUCAUCGAAUCUUUGAACGCACAUUGCGCCCCAUGGUAUUCCGUGGGGCAUGCCUGUUCGAGCGUCAUUUACCCCCUCAAGCUCCGCUUGGUGUUGGGCGUCUGUCCCGCUUCGCGCGCGGACUCGCCCCAAAGGUAUUGGCAGCGGUCGUGCCAGCUUCUCGCGCAGCACAUUGCGCUUCUCGAGGCACCGGUGGGCCCGCGUCCAUCAAGCUCACCCCCCCAGUUUGACCUCGGAUCAGGUAGGGAUACCCGCUGAACUUAAGCAUAUCAAUAAGCGAGGA
rnacentral:misc_RNA from 1 species